CCUGUGGCAUCACAGUUAGGCCUAUGAUGUCACAGGAGAUGGAAGCCAGCAGGACAGGAUCUAGGAGAUCCUGGGCACAGGAAGAGGCUGUUUGGUGUGGGAACUUGAAGACUGGAAGGACAUUUCCUAGCCGAGCAGGGGACUUUCAGGAUUGAGAGCUAGAAGUUCCUAUAGACAUUUCUCUUUUGUUUUCCAAGCAAAUGUAAUAGUAACUUUUCUGAGUAUUGGGGGCUGUGACCCCAGGAAGGGGUGGAGUUGCCAGAUGGAAACCAAAGAUGUGUGGAUCCCCUUGGAGGUGUGGGUACCAGUGAGCCCCGCUCCCCGUGAUCCCCAGCAAGGCUUGCUGGGAGCCUGGGAGGUCUCUAGCUUUUGGGAGUGGAAUUUUGGUGAACCCAGACUGUAAGGGGGUCAUGGGAAUAGCUCCUCCAUUAAUUGGAAGGAUAUGAGGGAGUCCCUAGGGGUGAGGGAUGGGGAAGGCUAAGAGGGUUGUCUGGGUAUUGGUAAUGGGGCCUCAGAAGAAAGGCUGUGAGAAGCAGACAUGAGGGUGUGGGUGUGGUAACAAAGGACGCUGGCAUUGUCAAGAGAUGGCAGAGUCUGGGGUUUGGCCCUAGAGACCUCUGGGAUACUUGCUGUGUGGCUCUGGCAGCUUCAAACAUCGCACCUUCCUGUCAUCUCUCACACCACUGGGGCCUCAGUCACAGGCAGCUGCUGUCCUCCUGCCCACCUCCUUCCUUCCUCAGCCAAGAGGACCGCCGCAGAGCCAGAUGCAGAGACACACAGGUCACCUUUGGGCUCACAGUACUUGAGACCUGAGAUAGGGAAACUGAGGCGAGGAGUGAAAUUUUGUGGGAGAGCCCUUCCUGGAAGCCAGGCUUGUAACUGAGAACCUUCACAGCUUCUCUGGACACUCAUCUUCCCAGCAGAGCACUGGGCCCCAGGGCUGCACACCAGCUCCACUGAUGAUGAAAAGCUCACAGCCGAGUAUCCACUAAGCAAGGACAAGAUGGAAAGCCAGCCUGAAACAGCUGGCCACGGGGCCCCCUGUCCAUCCCUGACUCCUGGAAACAGCUCCACUCCAACCUCCCAGCUGAACAGAAAGAGCCUUAGCCCCCUCAGCAUUCUGCCCCAGCCCUCCUGUCCCCAUCUCCAAGGAGCUCCCAUUCCACUUCCUCCCCUUCUACCCCAGGUACCCACUUCUCCUGCCUCUGCCUUACCUGUUCUCCUAUGGGGCCCUACCUUCUGUCCAGUGUCCCCACCUCUUCAUACUGCCCCAAGACAUUACCUACCCCACCAUGGCUGCACCCAGCUUGCUGAUGACAGCCGAUGAGCCUGGGCACCACAGUGUUCCAGGGCAGACCCUGCUUUGCAACCCUGGGCCCUUCCAAGCCUCUGGCCAUGCCAUGCCCUCCCGGACCCAGGAUCCAUCCUUGGGAAUGGAGUGGGCUGGCAUGACAGCUCCAGGGAAGCGGGCCUCAAUGGGAUCCCGGGCAGGCACCUCGCCCUCCCCUACCCUCUGAAGAAAGAAAACGGCAAAAUCCUGUAUGAGUGCAACAUGUGCAGCAAGAGCUUUGGACAGUUCUCCAACCUUAAGGUCCACCUGCGCGUGCACAGUGGGGAGCGGCCGUUCCAGUGUGCCCUGUGCCAGAAGAGCUUCACCCAGUUCGCCCACCUUCAGAAGCACCACUUGGUGCACACUGGGGAGCGGCCCCACAAGUGCCGGACGUGCCAGAAGUGCUUCAGCAGUUCCAGCAACCUCAAGACUCACCUGUGCCUGCACGUCCAGUGCAGUGUCUGCCCAAAUCACUUCACCCAGCUUGUCCAUUGGAAGCUGCACCAACAGCUCCACACUCCACAACCCGGCGGCCUGGCUCACCCCCACCUGCCCCUGGGCUCUCUUCCCUGCCUUGCCCAAUGGCACCAGCGAGCAUUGGAUCUUGUUGCGGAGCCCUCAGAGAAACAGAUGGGUUGGGACAUGGACAGGGUCAAGGUGUCCUUGGUAUCCCAGGGAAAGCCAGGGCAGCCAGCCUGAGCCAACACUGCUCAGAGGAGAGGGCAAGGGCAGAGCAAUUAAAGGAUUUUCAAAAUGAUGAGUUGAGGCUUCCUGUGCUUCCACAGUGAAGGGGUCACCGUGUAAUUGCCAGACCUCACACUUUACCUGAGAGCAGGUCAGAGGAC
rnacentral:lncRNA from 1 species